CGGAUCCUUAGUAGCAGCUCCGCCUUUGAAACAUUGCUAUAAAACUCCUCACCAAAUCCUCCAAGUUUGGGACACAGAGGUACUGUGGGGCACGAGCCCACUGUAUCCCGCUUUGCCUAGCAAAGCAGUAAGACUGUUCUUUUCUGCUUCACCCAAAACUCUGUCUCCGAGAUGUGAUUCAGCACUGGUGCACAGAGGCCGAGUUUUCAGCAUCAGUCUGAGAACAUGGACCAGGCAGCGUGAUCAACGAUAAAGGAAGGGGAAGCAGAGCUCCGGACAGGAGAGUCCACUGUGCCUACAGCCAAGGACCCCAAGCCCCCUGAAUGCCGCGCUGCCAUUGGAAGAAUGACCUGCUAUCUUUGUCCUGACGGGGGAGGAUAUUCACAGGAGACAGGCAGAGAAAUUGAUGUACAAGUGGAGCCGAAAAUAAACAAGCUGGGCAGUGACACAAGGAUGAAAGGCACCUCUGGUUCUGGACAGAACUGGUGAUGGAAGAGAAGGGAGGUAUCCCUCAGCAUCUGUCCGCACUAUGGUUAUGUUCUUUCUCUACAUCACCUCCUCUUCACCCACCCAACAAAGAUCUGAUUGAUUCAGAAAGUUAACGCAACGUGUGGAUGCCCCUUCUCUUCCUAUCCAAGGAUGCCAGCACAGCUGAAGGACUUAAAAGAAAACAGACUGAGGUCUCCCAAAGAAGAGGAAAUGCUACCAGAAGACUCCCUCUGCACUCAAGUCACAACAGCAACUGUUCUCCGGGUCUCCAGCCUGCCAGCCUACCCUGCAGAUUUUGGACUUGCCCACUGGUGCAAUCACAUAAAGCAAAAAAGGCACAGAGAAAUGAAGGUCAAGAAGUUCGUAAGGAGCAGAACUGGGGUCUUGCUCCAAUAUUCUGGCUCUGAACCAUUACACAAUACUGUCUCUCAAGAAGGCUUGGGCUUCCCUGGUGGCGCAGUGGUUGGGAAUCCGCCUGCCAAUGCUAGAGGACACCGGUUCGUGCCCCGGUCCGGAAGGAUCCCACAUGCCGCGGAGCGGCUGGGCCCGUGAGCCAUGGCCGCUGAGCCUGUGCGUCCGGAGCCUGUGCUCCGCAGCGGGAGAGGCCACAGCAGUGAGAGGCCCACGUACCGCAAAAAAACCAAACUAAGAACAGAAAGUAAAAAGUCCUCUAGAUGAACACGAUCAAUAAGAAUAUACCGUAGCUUCAUACUAUAGCCUGUAAAAGAGAAAGAUCAGAUAGGAAAGAAAGAGGAAAGGAAAAAAUAUGUUGGAGAAGAAUUAAGUUGGAAAUGUUAAUGGAAAAGACACUAAGGGAAAAAAAUCUAUGUGUGUGGCUACGAAUAGUUCUUAAAUGAGCUCAUAUAUAUAUAUAUAUAUAUGUGAAUUAGAAGUAGCAGGAAAUAGAAACAUAUAAAGUCACCAGUUCAUAGAAAGAGAAAUAUUUUAUUUUAUAAAAUUUCUGCUAAAGACUUAAAUCUGUUACAUUUUGAAAGAAUAAGCAUAUUUACAGAUUUCUACAAUUAUAGAUAUAGAGAAUGGGAUGAAAUUAUAGAUAAAUAG